UGGACCUACGGGGCGCAGCAGUGGGGAAUAUUGGGCAAUGGGCGCAAGCCUGACCCAGCAACGCCGCGUGAAGGAAGAAGGCUUUCGGGUUGUAAACUUCUUUUCUCAGGGACGAAGCAAGUGACGGUACCUGAGGAAUAAGCCACGGCUAACUACGUGCCAGCAGCCGCGGUAAUACGUAGGUGGCAAGCGUUAUCCGGAUUUACUGGGUGUAAAGGGUGCGUAGGCGGCUUUAUAAGUCAGAAGUGAAAUCCAUGGGCUUAACCCAUGAACCGCUUUUGAAACUGUAGAGCUUGAGUGGAGUA
rnacentral:rRNA from 1 species